GACGAACGCUGGCGGCGUGCUUAACACAUGCAAGUCGAACGCUGAAGCUCAGCUUUUGUUGGGUGGAUGAGUGGCGAACGGGUGAGUAACACGUGAGUAACCUGCCCCCUUCUUUGGGAUAACGCCCGGAAACGGGUGCUAAUACUGGAUAUUCACUGGUCUUCGCAUGGGGGUUGGUGGAAAGGGUUUUUCUGGUGGGGGAUGGGCUCGCGGCCUAUCAGCUUGUUGGUGGGGUGAUGGCCUACCAAGGCUUUGACGGGUAGCCGGCCUGAGAGGGUGACCGGUAACAUUGGGACUGAGAUACGGCCCAGACUCCUACGGGAGGCAGCAGUGGGGAAGAUUGCACAAUGGGCGCAAGCCUGAUGCAGCGACGCCGCGUGAGGGAUGGAGGCCUUCGGGUUGUGAACCUCUUUCGCUCAUGGUCAAGCCGCAACAAUGGUUGUGGUGAGGGUAGUGGGUAAAGAAGCGCCGGCUAACUACGUG
rnacentral:rRNA from 1 species